rnacentral:lncRNA from 1 species
CAUCUGCCUCCCCAUCCCAGACACCCCAGGGCCCUUGCUAUAAGUUCUUCUCCCUCCCCAGAAUCCUAUUCUUCGUGCCUAAUGAUGGAAGAAGCUUGAAGCUCUGUCCUCCCCAUGGAUCCUUACCCUUUCCCUUCCUGGCCUGGGCCACCCACUCCCUUAGUGAUUUCCAAUUGCAUUUCAACUGCACCUACUGGCCAUUGGGGUCUAGAGCAGAGGGUCUGAGUCUGACCCUGCCUGGCUUUCACUCUGAAAAACUGCCAAGGCCAGAUGUCCAUGAGCACAGUGAGUACCAAGAGUUCCUGAGGCAGGGACCUGUGAUAAGUUUUGAGUUUAAAAGAGUUCCCUUACUCUAAAGUGCUGGUGUAAAUGCACACACUGCUGUCCUCUUAGUACAGCCUAUUAUUCAACUCAGGCGUAGCUGGAAUCACAUCCUCACCCCCCCACCAGAAUGAACCAGGUGAAGUUUGUGCUGUUUCCUCGCUGGGAAGAUAGGGUUGGGAUGUUUCACUGUCAUGGAAAAAGCUUCUGAGAGGACUGGGGUCAUAGCUCAGUGAUAGAGUGCUUGUCUAGCUUCUUUGAGACAUUGGGUUGGAUUCUCAGCACCAAAUAUAAAUAAAGGUCCAUUCUGAGAGCUGUGGAGGGUUUCAACCACCCCCACCCCCGCCUUCAGCAAGGAAUAGAGCUGCUGCAGGAGGCCCUGGCAGUGGUGUCCACUUCUCACCAAGGAACUUCUCUGAG